UACGUAGGAGGCAAGCGUUGUCCGGAAUUACUGGGCGUAAAGCGCGUGUAGGUGGUGGGACAAGUCUGCUGUGAAAGCGCCUGGCUUAACCGGGCGAGGUCGGCGGAAACUGUCGCACUCGAGGACGGUAGAGGGGGGUGGAAUUCCCGGUGUAGUGGUGAAAUGCGUAGAGAUCGGGAGGAACACCUUUGGCGAAGGCGGCCCCCUGGGCCGGCCCUGACACUGAGACGCGAAGGCGUGGGGAGCGAACGGG
rnacentral:rRNA from 1 species